rnacentral:sRNA from 1 species
CGAUGGUCCCGAAGUUUCGGGAGAUAUCCUUUUGUGUCCGCCGCGGCGGACACAAAAGAUAUAAUGUAAAGCGGGACUUUAU